GCCUGGGUGGCUCAGUCGAUUGAGCUCCUGACUUUGACUCAGGUCAUGAUCCCACAGUUCGUGGGUUCAAGCCCCGCAUCAGGCU
rnacentral:tRNA from 1 species